GACGAACGCUGGCGGCGUGCCUAAUACAUGCAAGUCGAACGCAGUGGGGACGGGUGAGUAACACGUGGGUAACCUCCCAUCAGAGGGGAUAACACUUGGAAACAGGUGCUAAACCGAUACUGAUGGAUGGACCCGCGGUGCAUUAGCUAGUUGGUGAGGUAACGGCUCACCAAGGCCACGAUGCAUAGCGGACCUGGGAGGGUGAACGGCCACACUGGGACUGGGAGACGGCCAAGACGACUAGGGGAGGCAGGAGUAGUGACUCUUCGGCAAUGGACGAAAGUCUGACCGAGCAACGCGGCGUGAAGGAAGACGGUCUUCGGAUUGUAAACUUCUUUAGACAGGGAAGCGGUACCUGUAGAAUAAGCCACGGCUAACUACGUGCCAGCCGCCGCGGUAAUAC
rnacentral:rRNA from 1 species